rnacentral:rRNA from 1 species
GAUGAACGCUGGCGGCGUGCCUAAUACAUGCAAGUCGAGCGAAUGGAUUAAGAGCUUGCUCUUAAGAAGUUAGCGGCGGACGGGUGAGUAACACGUGGGUAACCUGCCCAUAAGACUGGGAUAACUCCGGGAAACCGGGGCUAAUACCGGAUAACAUUUUGAACCGCAUGGUGCGAAAUUGAAAGGCGGCUUCUGCUGUCACGUAUGGAUGGACCCGCGUCGCAUUAGCUAGUUGGUGAGGUAACGGCUCACCAAGGCAACGAUGCGUAGCCGACCUGAGAGGGUGAUCGGCCACACUGGGACUGAGACACGGCCCAGACUCCUACGGGAGGCAGCAGUAGGGAAUCUUCCGCAAUGGACGAAAGUCUGACGGAGCAACGCCGCGUGAGUGAUGAAGGCUUUCGGGUCGUAAAACUCUAUUGUUAGGGAAGAACAAGUGCUAGUUGAAUAAGCUGGCACCUUGACGGUACCUAACCAGAAAGCCACGGCUAACUACGUGCCAGCCGCCGCGGUAA